rnacentral:lncRNA from 1 species
CUUCUACUCACCAGAAUUUAAGGCCGUUAAAUUCAGAAGCAAAAUGUCCAUGAAAAAUAAGAGAAUGAGAUUCAUUAACUUAGGUUGAUUUCCUUAAGAGAUUGUGACCUGGAGAUUUGCUGCAGGGAGUUUAUUGGGAAGAACACUCUGGAGCAACACCAUUAAAGGGACAUUUAAUACAUUGGUUUAUAAGACUCAAUGGGCAGAACGGCUUGCACCACAUCCUGAUCUCUUGCUCUGGCCUCUAUGUAAUCCUGGAAGUAAAUCAAGAAUCGAUUAAAACACCAGGAAUGAACCCUCUCAUCAUGUGUAGACACAGAGAGAUGGAAGUCAUCUGCAAGCAAAGGAAUGAAGACCCUCAAAACCAAACCUACCAACAUCAUGAACUUGGAUAUUUAGCCUUCAGAACUUUGAAAAGAUAGAGUUAUUUAAACAUCUUAGUGAGAAAUAUUUUUAUGGAAGUCUUAGCAAAUUAAUGGAGUCAGUUUUCUCAAGAGGCUUAUGUUUUAGAGAGUUUUAGCUUCAGGGAAAAAUUGAGCAAAAUAUAGAGAAGGAAUAUUUUCCACAGUGCCUCUACACAUGCGUAGCUUCCUACGUUAUUAACAAUCACCAACAGAAUGGUACAUUUGUUAUAAUUGUUGAAGUUUUGUGACACAUAAUUAUUAUCCAAAGUCCAUGUUAUACAGAGGGUUCAUAGUUGGUGUUGAAUAUUUCCUGGAUUAAAAAAAAUGUGUAAUGUAUUUAUUUACCUUUAUAGUACUAUACAAAUAGUUUCACUGGUGAAAAGAAAAAUCUUCUAUGCUCUAUUAGUCCUUCUCCAUAACCCCUGAAACCACUGGUCUUUUUAUUAUCUCCACAUAUUUUUAUUUUUCAGAAUUUUUGAGCAGUUGAAGUCAAACUAUCUAAAAGGAUUUGAAUUUGGCUUUUGCCACAUAGUAAUGUAC